UUUAAUUGAAGAGUUUGAUCAUGGCUCAGAUUGAACGCUGGCGGCAGGCCUAACACAUGCAAGUCGGGCGGUAACAGGGAGAAGCUUGCUUCUCUGCUGACGAGCGGCGGACGGGUGAGUAAUGUAUGGGGAUCUGCCUGAUGGAGGGGGAUAACUACUGGAAACGGUAGCUAAUACCGCAUAAUGUCUCCGGACCAAAGCGGGGGACCUUCGGGCCUCGCGCCAUCAGAUGAACCCAUAUGGGAUUAGCUUGUAGGUGAGGUAACGGCUCACCUAGGCGACGAUCCCUAGCUGGUCUGAGAGGAUGAUCAGCCACACUGGGACUGAGACACGGCCC
rnacentral:rRNA from 1 species